UACGUAGGUGGCAAGCGUUGUCCGGAUUUACUGGGCGUAAAGAGCGCGCAGGCGGUCGUUCAAGUCGAGUGUGAAAGCCUGUGGCUCAACCACAGAAUGGCCUUCGAUACUGGGACGCUUGAGUCUGGUAGAGGUUGGUGGAACUGCGAGUGUAGAGGUGAAAUUCGUAGAUAUUCGCAAGAACACCGGUGGCGAAGGCGGCCAACUGGACCAGCACUGACGCUGAGGCGCGAAAGUGUGGGGAGCGAACAGG
rnacentral:rRNA from 1 species